UAAGUCUUAAAACAAUUUUUUUUGUCACUCUCUCUUGCGUUUUCUUCACUCCCAUUUCACUCACAUCACAACCGCACCCUCUUGCUCACCAUCUCUAUCUCAUUUCAAUCUUCUCCCUCAUUCCAUUUCAUUCUUCUCUGUGCAGGUCCACCGUCGCUGGUGGGGGUUGCGACGGGCUAGCGCGGGCUCAUUAGGGCUGGACAACGCAAAGGCCUAGGACUACUCGACAAUGCUUGCAGGUAAAAUCUCACUCUCCACUGCCUUUUCAAAUCCCAGGCGCUGUGUGCUACUGCAUAUUAUUUGGAAAUGAAUAUUGAAGGGUGGAAGGGUUUGUUCAUAGAGUAGUGCUCCUUCUUGCAGCAGGGUUACCCUAUCCAUUCCACAAGCUUGAUCUCUUCACUCUCUUAAGUCAGGAAAGGUUGGAUUUGUGGAUAUUCUAAUGAGAGGUGGAUAAUAAAAGGAAGGUCUCUGUUAUGGGUUUUGACAAAUGCACACGUGCUCAUCAUAAUUGGACAGGAUCAAGGAGGAUGAAGAUGAUUCAAGCUGAGGGAGUGGAGUCCCUUUUAGAAAAAGAGCUUAUUUCAGCCCGUCGAGAACGAGGCAUACUUGGAACACGUUCAGUAGAGGAAAUGCGAGAAGAGGUUUGAGAAGAUAGACUGAAACAUGCGAGAAGAGCUUACAUUGACUGAAGAUAGACUGAAACAUGUCUAUUAAAUUUAUCACAUAUGGUUCAUGAAUACUAUAUUUUCAUGGUGAUUUCACCUCAUUUGUUACUGUCAGGGAUGUCAAUAAGCCAAUGUAAGCUUUGACUGGCUGCAACCUCUUCUAAACAGCCCAUAGUUAUAUCAUCAGCUUACGUUUGUUUGAAGUAUUUUAUAAGAAACAAUAUAAAUCAUAUCGUAUUAUAUAAUGCUGAUAUGGAUCUAUUUUAGUUUGAUCUUU